UAAUACUUGCCAGAGGUGUGCAUCGGAUCGGAUUGGACGUUUAUAAUCCGACAAUUGGCUAAUGUUUAAAAUCCGAUCCGAAAUUGUCUAAUCCGAAUCCGAUCCGAGUUUUGAUAAAGAAAUAUAAAAGCAGGAAAUACAUGUCAAGAAGCGGACAAAGUGCAUGAUUCUGGAUAAUUAAUUCAUUUUAUUUCGAAUAUCGAAGUCCGUUCCGACUACAAAACAACUUUAUCAAUCCGAUCCAAUCCGAAAUGAAUAUUUUUGUUCCGAAAUCCGAACGAAUCGGAUUGGAUUCGGAUCGGAUUUGCA